CCUACGGGGGGCAGCAGUGAGGAAUAUUGGUCAAUGGACGAGAGUCUGAACCAGCCAAGUAGCGUGAAGGAUGACUGCCCUAUGGGUUGUAAACUUCUUUUAUAUGGGAAUAAAAUGUUCCACGUGUGGGAUUUUGUAUGUACCAUAUGAAUAAGGAUCGGCUAACUCCGUGCCAGCAGCCGCGGUAAUACGGAGGAUCCGAGCGUUAUCCGGAUUUAUUGGGUUUAAAGGGAGCGUAGGUGGAUUGUUAAGUCAGUUGUGAAAGUUUGCGGCUCAACCGUAAAAUUGCAGUUGAAACUGGCAGUCUUGAGUACAGUAGAGGUGGGCGGAAUUCGUGGUGUAGCGGUGAAAUGCUUAGAUAUCACGAAGAACGCCGAUUGCGAAGGCAGUUCACUGGACUGCAACUGACACUGAGGCUCGAAAGUGUGGGUAUCAAACAGGAUUAGAUACCCCAGUAGUC
rnacentral:rRNA from 1 species